rnacentral:rRNA from 1 species
UGGGGAAUAUUGGACAAUGGGCGCAAGCCUGAUCCAGCCAUGCCGCGUGAGUGAUGAAGGCCCUAGGGUUGUAAAGCUCUUUCACCGGUGAAGAUAAUGACGGUACCCGGAGAAGAAGCCCCGGCUAACUUCGUGCCAGCAGCCGCGGUAAUACGAAGGGGGCUAGCGUUGCUCGGAAUUACUGGGCGUAAAGGGAGCGUAGGCGGACAUUUAAGUCAGGGGUGAAAUCCCGGGGCUCAACCUCGGAAUUGCCUUUGAUACUGGGUGUCUUGAGUGUGAGAGAGGUAUGUGGAACUCCGAGUGUAGAGGUGAAAUGCGUAGAUAUGCGGAGGAACACCGAUGGCGAAGGCAAUCCCCUGGACCUGUACUGACGCUCAUGCACGAAAGCGUGGGGAGCAAACA